rnacentral:rRNA from 1 species
UACGGAGGGUGCAAGCGUUGUUCGGAAUUACUGGGCGUAAAGCGUGUCUAGGCGGACAUGUAAGUCAGGUGUGAAAGACCUUGGCCUAACCAAGGAAUUGCGCCUGAAACUGUGUGUCUUGAAUAAGGAAGAGGUGGGUAGAAUACCUGGUGUAGCAGUGAAAUGCGUAGAUAUCAGGUAGAACACCGGAGGCGAAGGCGGCCCACUGGUCCUUUAUUGACGCUGAAGCACGAAAGCGUGGGGAGCAAACAGG